rnacentral:rRNA from 1 species
CAUAUAGGUUGUAGGGAACUGAAAGGGACCGACCCUUCGGGGAGCCUAGUACAGGUGUUGCAUGGCUGUCGUCAGCUCGUGUCGUGAGAUGUUCGGUUAAGUCCGCUACGAGCGCAACCCUCGUCGUAUGUUAUAUGUGUCAUACGAGACUGCCGGUAAAAAGCCGGAGGAAGGUGAGGAUGAUGUCAAGUCAGCAUGACCUUUAUAUCCAGGGCUACACACACGCUACAAUGGUCUGUACAAUGGGUAGCCAAGCCGCGAGGCGGAGCCAAUCCUGAAAGCAGGCCUCAGUUCAGAUUGCAGUCUGCAACUCGACUGCAUGAAGUUGGAAUCGCUAGUAAUCGCAGAUCAGCACGCUGCGGUGAAUAAGUUCUCGGGUUUU